UUCAGGAUAGCAAGGGAUACGGUAUGGAGGUUCGCCGUCCGCCGCACCGGUGACGGAGGCCGCAGCUGGCGCCGUGACGGCAGAUUCCCGGAGCCGUGGCUCGGGACGCUGUUGUACUCCUGAUCCGUAGCUCAGGAACUGAGCACUCCGGUAAGCCGAGCUGUGGACCGUAGUAAAUGAGGAAGCAGGCCAGGGCGGUGCUGUCUCCCACCUCUCUCCACGUUUUGUUGGAUCGCCAUUGACGCCCCGCGGAGGUCGGCGGUGCAGGGAAAACAGGGCGGCGACUGUCGGGCUGGAGUUCCUGAUGCAAAUUAUUAGGAGCGCCGCGGUGAUGGAAGAGGUCAACAACAACGAGCUACCAAUGGAGCCGCUGCACUACCCCGCGGUGGCGGCAGGAGCCGAGGAGCUACGGCCAAUGGGCACAGGUCGCGUUGACGGCGAGAUCUGUGUAGCUCAUGGAGCAGUUGCAUCCGAGCAGGAUAAGGAACCACAAGCAUCUGAGCAAUCAAUUGGGCAGAUGAUCCAAAAACCCCGGCUGGACUCGCAGAGUUAGAAUUGGAGCUGCUGCUCCAGGAAGGGUGCCUUGCCCUGGCUGACCCAGCGCCCUUGAGAAGGCAAUACGGGAGUUCGGUGACAAACCAUGCAACAUUGUAAUCGUGCCAGAACUGGGUACAAGCUUCGACAAGCUCGAGGAGGCCUAUGAUUUUUAUUUGCAGGGUAAAGCAGGGGUGGAAACACACUAGAUCAUGCAGAUGUGUGUACCCUGCAUUAAUAAGACUGCUUCGAUCAAAGGACAAUGAUUGGUACAUAGCUGAGCAUCGAGAACAUCACAACCAUUCACUGUCUCCAACAUAUGGGCAGACAAUACACUGGCCUUCCCACAAGCACAUUGAUACAUACAAUGGAGAUUUGGUGGAGCAGCUGCGUCAGAACAAUGUCAAUCUAGCCAAAGUGCAUAGCAUAAUAGGAAGCUUUUUUGGUUCAAUGGAAAAGGUGCCAUUCACGAAAAGAGCUUUGAAAAUUUUGUGUGAAAAAAUCAGCAGAGAGCAAGCAGAGAAUGAUGUGAGGAAAACUAUGGAGGUUUUUGCAGGUCUGGGUUCAAGGGACCCACACUUCACUUAUCGUGUGCAGGCAGACAAGGAUGGUCGGAUAACAACUCUGAUGUGGGCAAAUGGGAGCAUUAGAUUGCAGUACACCUUCUUUGGAGACGUUUUUACCUUCGAUACAACAUACAGAACAAAUCUGUACAACAUGCCGUUUGGUCUGUUUGUAGGAGUGAAUAAUCAUUUCCAGAGCAUCAUCUUGGCUGGGGUUUUGGUCCGUGAUGAAAAAGUGGAGACUUUUGAGUGGGUUUCCACAUAAUGCGUUAGGAUGAUGGCUGGAAGUGCACCAAAGACAAUUCUAACAUGUCAGAACCCAUAUUUUAGAAAAUGUCUGUGUGACAACUGUGUAAAAAUGAUGUUGUUUUGGCUAAUAUCAUAUUUGGUGUUGUGCAGAUCAAAACCGUGCGAUGGAGGUCGCCAUAAAAAAUGUGAUGCCUCAAACAGCACACUGAUGGUGUAAGUGGCACGUGCUGAAAAAGGCGAAGGAAUCACUCGGUUCAUUGUACACCAAGAAGAGCGAGUUCAGGGCACAGUUCCACAAGGUAGUAAAUCACAUGCUUGCGAUCGAUGAAUUCGAGGAAGCAUGGAAGAUACUGGUUGAGAAAUGUAAUUUAAAGACGCAUGACUACAUCACUCAACUGUAUGAAAUAAGACACAAGUGGGCGAAGCCAUAUUUCAAAGGUGUUUUCUGUGCUAAGAUGACAAACACCCAAUGCAGUGAAAGUGCAAACCACAUGCUGAAGAGCUAUGUCCCACCUGGUUGUCUGAUGCAUAUGUUUGUCAAAAAAUACAUGAGACUACAGUUUGACAGGGAAGCUGAGGAGAACUACGAGGAGAAGCGGACACGAAUAGUAAGUCAACGUUUGGUAAUUGCCACUAGUUUUGUAGUGCUGACCUCUACGUUUCAGGGUAGAACACUAUACAAAGCAAACUUAGCUAUUGAAAGACAUGCUGGUAAGAUAUAGACACGUGCUAUGUUCGAGCAGUUUGGACAUAUACUCUAUGAGUGCGGUGCAUACCAAGUUGAGGAGCUUGAGAAAGGGAAACUGUAUCUUGUGAUUCAUACAGAGGCUGCAAGGAGAGAAAAGUGGUGUAGGGUGUCAUAUAAGGUAAAUGUUCUUGAAGGAGGUGAGGAAUUCGAUUGCGAGUGUGGGCAAUUUGCACACAUGGGACUCCUUUGUAGCCAUGUUUUGAAGGUGAUGGAUUUCAUUCGUAUUACAGAGACACCACCGAAACACAUUGUGAAGCGAUGGACGAGGGAUGCGUGUGAUGUGCUGCCAGCCCAUCUGACUCAAUACCAGAGAGAUCAUGCACACAAAAAUACAACCACCAACAGCAGCUGCUGUGAGUGGGGGUGCAGGCAUCGAGGCAGUGAAUGAUGAUGCUACUUCUGGAAAUGAGACUGGGAACAGACACACUAGUUUAUUGGCGCCGAAGAAAUGGAAAGAAAUGGGGCGCCCAACAACCAGCCGGGAGAAGGCACCGUACGAGGGACUCAGCAAGCGGACAAUGUUCUGCAGCAUAUGUCGGCAGCAGGGGCACAAGAGGACUACAUGCCUGGACCGGGGAGAUGCCCUGAAGCCUGUUUGUAAACCAGCAAGGUGCAAGAAUUGUGGGAUUGAAGGUCAUAGACGGAACAACUGCCAGAAAUUGGGUGAUUUACGGAUGAUUGGCUUGUGAGGAGGUGCAGCAGACUAUGUACUUAAGACAAUAAUUCUGUAGAGCUUAAUGUGUGCAACUGUAGUUCCAUGCUAUAGAAUUAUAGGCACCACCAUUUCUGAGCACUAUGGUGGUGUAUAUGCUUCUGAAUUUUUGGGCAAUAAGUUGGAGUUCAUAAUUGGAAAACAUAAUAAAAAUUUACUAAGGUGAAGCAUACUGAAUUUUGAAGCACUACGGUAGUGUCUACAUUUCUGAAAUUUUGGGCAAUAAGUUGGAGUCCAUAAUUGGAAAAUAUAAUAAAAAUGUACUGAGGUGAAGCAUACUGAAUUUUGAAGCACUACAGUAGUGUCUACAUUUCUGAAUUUUUGGGCAAUUUGUUGAUGUCCAGAAUUUGAAAAUUUUAUAAUUAAAGUUCUGAUUUUCUGAAUUUCUUAGCACGAUGGUGGUGCCUAUAAUUCUAUAGCAUGGUGCACAGGCAGAGUCCUCUCUCAGAGUCUGACCAUUUUUUUUGAAAUGGGAGUCUGACCAUUAGAAACACACUGUUCUUGCUGGAUUGCAAAAUCAGAUCCAUCUCAGAAGCUGGAUGGAGUAUCCGCAGAGGUGCAGGUAUCUGAUGCAUCUGAAAAGUUCACUCAACCAGCCUGACGGAGGAGAACUAGCUGCUAGUUCAUCAAGGAGUGUCUGCAGUGGUUGGGCAGCGGACGGCGCGUGCAAACGAGGAACUGCAAGCGGAGAAGAUAGGGGAUGGAUGUAUAUCGCGAGGAAGAAGACGGGUAGACUGGUGGUGGGCGCUGGUCCGCAAUAAAUGGUUAUCAGACGGCGUCGGCUCAGGAUCCGCGCUAUACCGGCCUUUUUUUUUUUUUUGAGAAAGCGCUAUACCGGCCUAGUUCGCUGGUGCACGUCUGAGCCAAAGCCCACUUAGCUGACGGCGUAUCAAGCCCGUUACAAGAGGCAUGGGCCCUCAUAACUGUUCACCUGGUGAUAUACGGGAAUAAUACCUGGGCUUAUACCGGAUGGAUUGGGGAUCACGAGGAUUG